rnacentral:rRNA from 1 species
UACGGAGGGGGCUAGCGUUGUUCGGAAUCAUUGGGCGUAAAGGGCGCGUAGGCGGCCGAUCAAGUCGGAGGUGAAAUCCCUCGGCUCAACUGAGGAAUUGCCUUCGAUACUGUUCGGCUUGAGUCCUGGAGAGGGUAGCGGAAUUCCCGGUGUAGCGGUGAAAUGCGUAGAUAUCUGGAGGAAUACCGGUGGCGAAGGCGGCAUCCUGGACCGAGAUUGACACUGAUGAGCGAAAGCUAGGGGAGCAAACGGG